rnacentral:rRNA from 1 species
UACGGAGGGUGCAAGCGUUAUCCGGAUUCACUGGGUUUAAAGGGUGUGUAGGCGGGCAGUUAAGUCAGUGGUGAAAUCUCCAGGCUCAACCUGGAAACUGCCAUUGAUACUAUCUGUCUUGAAUUCUGUUGAGGUGGGCGGAAUACAUCAUGUAGCGGUGAAAUGCUUAGAGAUCCGGAGGAACACCAGAGGCGAAGGCGGCAACCUGGCUCGUAACUGACGCUCAUACACGACAGCAUGGGGAGCGAACGGG